UACGAAGGGGGCUAGCGUUGUUCGGAAUUACUGGGCGUAAAGCGCACGUAGGCGGGUAUUUAAGUCAGGGGUGAAAUCCCAGAGCUCAACUCUGGAACUGCCUUUGAUACUGGGUACCUAGAGUAUGGAAGAGGUGAGUGGAAUUCCGAGUGUAGAGGUGAAAUGCGUAGAUAUCGUAAGGAAGACCAGUGGCGAAGGCGAAUCUCUGGACAAUUACUGACACUGAGGCACGAAGGCCAGGGGAGCAAACGGG
rnacentral:rRNA from 1 species